AUGAAAACUUGUCAUAUAAAAUUUGUUGCAUAUACACACAUGUGCACUUGGCAAAUAAAACUUGUCACAUAAAAACUUGUCAUAGAAAACUUGCUCGUCUGUAACCGACUUUAAUUGUACUACCAGUUCAAUGUCUGUCACUCGUGCCCUAAUAUACAAAAUCUAUAUAUAUUGUUACUUAAUUGUAUUGCCAUGCAGUUCAUCGUCUGUUACUCUUUUCUACAUACAAAUGCUAUAUUUAUUGUUACUUAAUUGUAUAACCUCACUGUAAAUUUCCAAAUGAAUCAACUGCAAAAGUGGCC